rnacentral:rRNA from 1 species
CAGCAGCCGCGGGAAUACGAAGGGUGCAAGCGUUAAUCGGAAUUACUGGGCGUAAAGCGUGCGUAGGCGGUGAGUUAAGUCUGCUGUGAAAUCCCCGGGCUCAACCUGGGAAUGGCAGUGGAUACUGGCUCGCUAGAGUGUGUCAGAGGAUGGUGGAAUUCCCGGUGUAGUGGUGAAAUGCGUAGAGAUCGGGAGGAACAUCAGUGGCGAAGGCGGCCAUCUGGGACAACACUGACGCUGAGGCACGAAAGCGUGGGGAGCAAACAGGAUUAGAUACCCGCGUAGUCCCUGUCUCUUAUAU